UCCGGAAGUCAUCGAUGCCACGCUUCCAGGAAAAGCCUCUAAGCUUCAGAUCACAUGCGACCGUACCCCAAACCGACACAGGUGGUCAGGGUGAGAAUCCCAAGGCGCUUGAGAGAACUCGGGUGAAGGAACUAGGCAAAAUGGCACCGUAACUUCGGGAGAAGGUGCGCCGGCGUAGCGUGAAGAGACUCGCUCUCCUAGCGCGAACCGGUCGAAGAUACCAGGUGGCUGCAACUGUUUAUUAAAAACACAGCACUCUGCUAACGCGUAAGCGGACGUAUAGGGUGUGACGCCUGCCCGGUGCCGGAAGGUUAAUUGAUGGUGUUAGCGCAAGCGAAGCUCCUGAUCGAAGCCCCGGUAAACGGCGGCCGUAACUAUAACGGUCCUAAGGUAGCGAAAUUCCUUGUCGGGUAAGUUCCGACCUGCACGAAUGGCGUAAUGAUGGCCACGCUGUCUCCACCCGAGACUCAGUGAAAUUGAAAUCGCAGUGAAGAUGCUGUGUACCCGCGGCUAGACGGAAAGACCCCGUGAACCUUUACUAUAGCUUCACACUGGACGCUGAUGUUGCUUGUGUAGGAUAGCUGGGAGGCUUGGAAACCGUGACGCCAGUUGCGGUGGAGCCAACCUUGAAAUACCAGCCUGGCAUCAUUGGCGUUCUAACUUCGCACCGUGAUCCGGUGUAAGGACAGUGUGUGGUGGGUAGUUUGACUGGGGCGGUCUCCUCCGAAAGCGUAACGGAGGAGCACGAAGGUACCCUCAGCACGGUUGGAAAUCGUGCAUUGAGUGCAAGAGCAUAAGGGUGCUUAACUGCGAGACAGACACGUCGAGCAGGUACGAAAGUAGGUUCUAGUGAUCCGGUGGUUCUGUAUGGAAGGGCCAUCGCUCAACGGAUAAAAGGUACUCCGGGGAUAACAGGCUGAUACCGCCCAAGAGUUCACAUCGACGGCGGUGUUUGGCACCUCGAUGUCGGCUCAUCACAUCCUGGGGCUGAAGUCGGUCCCAAGGGUAUGGCUGUUCGCCAUUUAAAGUGGUACGCGAGCUGGGUUUAGAACGUCGUGAGACAGUUCGGUCCCUAUCUGCCGUGGGCGUUGGAGAUUUGAGAAGCGCUGCUCCUAGUACGAGAGGACCGGAGUGGACGCACCUCUGGUGUUCCGGUUGUCACGCCAGUGGCACUGCCGGGUAGCUAUGUGCGGACGGGAUAACCGCUGAAAGCAUCUAAGCGGGAAGCCCCCUUCAAGAUGAGAUCUCCCUGAGACUUCGAGUCUCCUAAAGGGUCCAGCAAGACGAGCUGGUUGAUAGGCACGGUGUGGAAGCGCUGCAAGGCGUUGAGCUAACGUGUACUAAUGCCCCGUGAGGCUUGACCAU
rfam:Gammaproteobacteria bacterium MFB021 Contig-092, whole genome shotgun sequence.